CAGAAGUAAACUCGGGGAAACUGUCUGACCGGUUUGCUCCUUCAAUGCUUCUUGAAUUGCAUUAAGACCACAUUUGUGCAUCCGAGGCUGAGGCCCUUCUAUUGUGUUGCUCUUUGGUGGGGUAUAAAUAUGAUUAUCUGAACAUAGAAUGGGCGGCGGCUCCCUGACAAAUGACCCGCAUUAUCUAAUACACAGGGCAGCCCUAAUUAGCGAGGAGAUACAGAGACUUGUUAUCGCACUAGAAUGUCAAAUCUGCUUUAUUAAAAUGAAGCUAAAUUACAUUCUUAGUUUUGUACUACAGCUUCCAUCAAUCAGCAUAUUUUGAAAAUUAGCUGGUGCAAGUGCAAACUGCACGUAUCCGCUUAAUGGUCAGUUUGAAUCUGCUCUUCCUUUUCGCUCUUCAGCAGCUCCUCGUGACUCGCGUCUCCCUUCCUUCUCGGCCCCCCAUCACCUCCAUCACACUUACGCUCCGCUGUUGAGCUCCUCUUUUAUUUCCCAGUGCUUUGUUUGGCCUCCUCUCACAUCCACUGUGUACAGCAGCAGAAACGGAGGGCGGAGGGGGCUUCAGUCCCAUCAGCGUCUGUGUAGAAGUCCCUUAGAGUGAGGAACGAGGCCACACUCGGAGGGACAAUAGAGUGUUUUCCUCAGCGGGCGGGUAUUACCAGGUUUUAGAAGCUGUCACACUGUGUUACACAUAAAUGGCUUUCGCGGUUCGCAUUUUCUGCACCAACGGGGUCGGUUCCGUGUUCUCUCCUGUCUUACAGCGGGCAUCGUCUUCUUCGGGAGUCACCGCGCGGGACAAAAAGCACUUAGGAAGAAAACAAGGGCUGAGUGGGCCGCUGUAUUCCAGCUUAUGAAACCUGUAUGAGGAGGAACAGCAGGUCACAAGGCCUUUGAAAAGGUAAAUAAACGGACAGAGAACCUUCCCUGAAAGAAACGGUUCAGAUCAGUCACUGAUAACUCUGGGUGUGGCGGGGGGGGGGGGGGGGGGCGGUUAGAAUCUAAAGGGGCCAGAGGUGUGAGAUGGGGAGAGACGGCAGGACAGGUGGACGGACGUCGGGAGGAAAGAGGAGUUAAAGACGAAGACGCUGUGAAACGGAGAAAAGCCAAAACUUAUUUCACUCAAAUCUCAAAUGCAAAGACUGGCUUGGUAGAGGAGGGGGAGGGGGGGGGGGGGCUUGAAUCCUAAGCAGCCAUACAUUUCCCAUGAUGCUCGGCUAGGCCCAAGCGGGAGCUGCUACAACCGAUGUGAAGGGAAUAUUACAGGGCUCCCAAACAAAACUAAUAAGACUGCCAAUGUCUACAAAAUGACAUUCCCGUAUGAUUAACAUGGACGCUCCUCUCCUGGGUGAAAGUCCGCUGUGUUGUUUUCAUUUUUUUCCUGCCUUAAACACGUCAAAAAACAGGACUGACGUUGCACUCGCUUUGCAUGGGAGGAGAACAGGGUGAAGAGAAGAAGGAGGAGAAGACGCAUGAGGGAGAACGAUGUUAUGAAAAUUGAAUGUUCAAACGCACAAAAGACGCGCACUCGCCGCGUGAGUGACGCGUGCAGAUGCUCCUGCGAGAGUCGAGCACGCAUGCACAUGGCGGAGAGCCAUCAGCGGCGCACACAUCUGUGCAGACAUCUCCGCUCUGCAGGCGAUUCGUUUGCAGCGCCGUGACAGCACGGGAUCUGGGCUCUUUAUUGUCACUGCGGUGCUGUUUUUCUCAUUGAUGCACUUUAUUUCGUGCAAAGCGUUACGUUAUAAUGAAAGGUGCCACAGAAAUAUUAUUCAGGAAGCGAGGUAAAGAGGGAAGGAGGGACGGAAGGGGGGAGGGAAGAGGGGAUGAGGCGGGAUGAGGCCGGGAUGAGGCCGGGAUGAGUAUGAGACCGGGAUGAGGCCGGUAUGAGUAUGAGGCCGGGAUGAGUAUGAGAACAGGAUGAGGCCGGGAUGAGUAUGAGGCCGGGAUGAGUAUGAGAACAGGAUGAGGCCGGGAUGAGUAUGAGAACGGGAUGAGGCCGGGAUGAGUAUGAGGCCGGGGAUGAGUAUGAGAACAGGAUGAGGCCGGUAUGAGUAUGAGGCCGGGAUGAGUAUGAGAACGGGAUGAGGCCGGGAUGAGACCGGGAUGAGGCUCGGAUGAGGCCGGGAUAAGGCCGGGAUGAGACCGGGAUGAGGCCGGGAUGAGUAUGAGAACGGGAUGAGGCCGGGAUGAGGCCGGGAUGAGGCUCGGAUGAGGCCGGGAUAAGGCCGGGAUAAGGCCGGGAUGAGACCGGGAUGAGGCCGGGAUGAGUAUGAGGCCAGGAUGAGGCCGGGAUGAGGCCGCGCUUGUUCCGGCUCCAUCGCCGCGCAGCUGAAAAGUGCUGUCAAUUACAGCAAAGUGUUCCGCUGCACAGCCGGCGUGCACAAGCCCACGCGUGUGCUUUUCAUUCUUCAAUUUUAAAUAUACUUGGUAUGGUAAAUGGUAAAGGGGUGUGCGGGGGGGGGGGGGGGGGCACUAUACUAGACUAUAUAGGAAGCCAUUACUUUGGGCUGAAAGCCACCCAGGUAUUGCUGCUAGAAGAGGAGGGCCGGCCAUUCGUACCAACAACACAUUACCGGAGAAGGAGGAGCUCACUCUGCUGUACAUGUGCAAAAAGAAAGGGAGAUAAAGUAACAUACUGCACUGAGUAAAGAGGGACUGAGGGAGGGAAGGAUUCCUCUGAAAAAUGAGGUGACAGAAAGCUUUUUACGGGUGGGCAGGCAAUUUUCAAAUGUCUGAGGCCUCUCUGCAAAGCCACUUUACGUGGUGGCAAAUGUUAAACUUGUUCUGGGCGCAUCAAGGUCCCCUUGGCCGCCUGCUCGUCUUCGCCAGGAAUAUAAAUACGGCCUGAGAUGUGUGUGUGAGGGGGGUCUGGGGG
ensembl:lncRNA